rnacentral:lncRNA from 1 species
UUCUCGGCUUGCAUAUGUAAACAAUCUCUAAUUAGCAUAACAACUAUGAGUCGGCUAGUCUUCCAAUCAAUCCAUUUAACCAAGUCUUGAUCGAAAAACUAUUAGUCCCAACUCCUAGUCGGCCAGCAAUUGGCUCGAAGCCCUAGUCGUAUACCAUACUCUCGGAUCCUUUCUCGGAAGUAGAUUGACCAGGCUUAAGUUCAAAAGAUAGGCACCAACUGACUACAAC